UCGCGGGAAUUCGAUUCCGAAUUCGUCGCAACAGAGUUUGAUCCUAGCUCAUAACGAACGCUGGCGGCAGGCUUAAUACAUGCAAGUCGAACGGUUGUAGCAAUACAGCAGUGGCAGACGGGUGAGUAACACGUGGGAACCUACCUAGGGGUACGGAAUAACUCAGGGAAACUUGUGCUAAUACCGUAUACGACCUCAGGGUGAAAGAUUUAUCGCCCCUAGAUGGGCCCGCGUUGGAUUAGCUAGUUGGUGAGGUAAAAGCUCACCAAGGCGACGAUCCAUAGCUGGUCUGAGAGGAUGAUCAGCCACACUGGGACUGAGACACGGCCCAGACUCCUACGGGAGGCAGCAGUGGGGAAUCUUGGACAAUGGGCGAAAGCCUGAUCCAGCCAUGCCGCGUGAGUGAUGAAGGCCUUAGGGUUGUAAAGCUCUUUCGCCAGGGAAGAUAAUGACGGUACCUGGAUAAGAAGCCCCGGCUAACUUCGUGCCAGCAGCCGCGGUAAUACGAAGGGGGCUAGCGUUGUUCGGAAUUACUGGGCGUAAAGCGCACGUAGGCGGUUUUCCAAGUUGGAGGUGAAAU
rnacentral:rRNA from 1 species